CAUGGAGGGUGAGAAUCCCGUCCGGCUGACCUUCAGGACGUUUUACGAUACGCUCUCAAAGAGUCGAGUUGUUUGGGAUUGCAGCUCAAAAUGGGAGGUAAAUUUCUCCUAAGGCUAAAUACCGGCGAGAGACCGAUAGCGAACAAGUACCGUGAGGGAAAGAUGAAAAGAAUUUUGAAAAGAAAGUCAAACAGUACGUGAAAUUGUUGAAAGGGAAACGAUUGAAGCCAGUCGUACCGACGGGAAUUCAACUUCUCGAGUGCUAAUCGUGGGUGACGUUGAGCCUCACGGCCUUCGUUGCUUGUGUUGUUGGUGCUUUUGGGGUGUACUUUUCCGUAUGGUAGGUCAGCAUCGAUUUCGAUCGUCAUAAAAUGAUCGGGGGAAUGUAGCUUCGGUCUCGUAUCGGAGUGUUAUAGACCUUGGUAGAUGUGACGAUUGGGAUCGAGGAUUGCAACGAAUACCCUCUGGGCUAUCCGUCUGACCUCUGAAAGUCGCUCGGGUGUCGAAAGCGUGCUUAUGGCUAUUCGAGUUGGCGGUCAACAGGUUAGAACGUGAUUACAUUCGUUAAGGAUGUUGACGUA
rnacentral:rRNA from 1 species